CGCGUAGGCGGUUUAGUAAGUCAGAUGUGAAAGCCCCGGGCUCAACCUGGGAACUGCAUUUGAUACUGCUGGGCUAGAGUAUGGUAGAGGGAAGUGGAAUUCCAGGUGUAGCGGUGAAAUGCGUAGAUAUCUGGAGGAACAUCAGUGGCGAAGGCGACUUCCUGGACCAAUACUGACGCUGAGGUGCGAAAGCGUGGGUAGCAAACA
rnacentral:rRNA from 1 species